rnacentral:rRNA from 1 species
GACGAACGCUGGCGGCGUGCUUAACACAUGCAAGUCGAACGGAGAGGCCCUGCUCUUGUGGGUUGCUUGAGUGGCGAACGGGUGUGUAACACGCGAGUAACCUGCCCUUGACUUUGGGAUAACUUCUGGAAACUGGGGCUAAUAUCGGAUAGGAGCUCCUGCUGCAUGGUGGGGGUGGGAAAGUUACGGCGGUUGGGGAUGGAGUCGCGGCUUAUCAGCUUGUUUGUGGGGUAGUGACUUACCAAGGCUUUGACGGGUAGCCGGCCUGAGAGGGUAGACAGCAACAUGGAGGCUAAGUUACGGCCCAGUGUCCGACGCGAGACAGGAGUGGGGUAUAUUGCAAGAUAUACCGAAGCGGGAUCGAGCAACGCCGCGAGCGCGAUGACGGCCUUCGGGUUGAAAACCGCUUGCGGCUUUGAGGAAGAGUGAGUGACGGUAAUGGGUAAAAAAGCACCGGCUAACUACGUG